rnacentral:rRNA from 1 species
UCUUUUAGAUUUCCUUCGGGGAAGAAGAAAUUGUGACUGAGUGGCGGACGGGUGAGUAACGCGUGGGCAACCUGCCCCAUACAGGGGGAUAACAGCCGGAACGGCUGCUAAAACCGCAUAAGCGCACAAGGGCCGCAUGGCCUGGUGUGAAAAACUCCGGUGGUAUGGGAUGGGCCCGCGUCUGAUUAGCUAGUUGGCGGGGGAGAGGCCCACCAAGGCGACGAUCAGUAGCCGACCUGAGAGGGUGGCCAGCCACAUUGGGACUGAGACACGGCCCAAACUCCUACGGGAGGCAGCAGUGGGGAAUAUUGCACAAUGGGGGAAACCCUGAUGCAGCGACGCCGCGUGAGCGAAGAAGUAUUUCGGUAUGUAAAGCUCUAUCAGCAGGGAAGAAAAAUGACGGUACCUGAGUAAGAAGCACCGGCUAAAUACGUGCCAGCAGCCGCGGUAAUACGUAUGGUGCAAGCGUUAUCCGGAUUUACUGGGUGUAAAGGGAGCGCAGGCGGUGCGGCAAGUCUGAUGUGAAAGCCCGGGGCUCAACCCCGGGACUGCAUUGGAAACUACCUAACUAGAGUGUCGGAGAGGUAAGUGGAAUUCCUAGUGUAGCGGUGAAAUGCGUAGAUAUUAGGAGGAACACCAGUGGCGAAGGCGGCUUACUGGACGAUAACUGACGCUGAGGCUCGAAAGCGUGGGGAGCAAACAGGAUUAG